rnacentral:rRNA from 1 species
AGUGAACGCUGGCGGUAGGCCUAACACAUGCAAGUCGAACGGCAGCACAGUAAGAGCUUGCUCUUACGGGUGGCGAGUGGCGGACGGGUGAGGAAUACAUCGGAAUCUACUUUUUCGUGGGGGAUAACGUAGGGAAACUUACGCUAAUACCGCAUACGACCUACGGGUGAAAGCAGGGGAUCUUCGGACCUUGCGCGAUUGAAUGAGCCGAUGUCGGAUUAGCUAGUUGGCGGGGUAAAGGCCCACCAAGGCGACGAUCCGUUGCUGGUCUGAGAGGAUGAUCAGCCGCACUAGAACUGAGACACGGUCCAGAGUCCUACGGGAGGCAGCAGUGGGGAAUAUUGGACAAUGGGCGCAAGCCUGAUCCAGCCAUACCGCGUGGGUGAAGAAGGCCUUCGGGUUGUAAAGCCCUUUUGUUGGGAAAGAAAAGCAGCAGGUUAAUACCCCGCUGUUCUGACGGUACCCAAAGAAUAAGCACCGGCUAACUUCGUG